UCCCUGUAGCGCAAUGAAUAGCUUGUUGGACUUAUAGUCUAAAGAUCGUGGGUUCGAAACCCACCUGGAAAG